GCGCUCAAUAUAAGAUGACGUGCGCACGAGAUGAGAUGUCGUGCGCACGAGAUUGUACUGCAAGGCGUUUUUCCCUGACUUCUCUGGUUUAUUGUAGUUGUGAUUAGUUUGUAUAAAUUCUCUCUACUUAUAUAUUAAUUAAUACUCAUGUUUUAUUGUUUGGGCCUCCUUGGCCGAGUGGUUAAAGUCAAAGACUUCAAAUCAAUAGCCAUUCACCGAUGUAUGUUUGAUUCUCACUUGGGGUGUUGACUUCUUCAUGUUAGGAAGCCAUCCAGCUAGCUUACGGAGGUGGGUGGGUCUACCCAGGUGCCCGCUCGUGAUGAAGUAAUACAUGGAAUGGCCCAUCUAGUCUUCCUGUACCGUCAAAGGUAGAAAUUUGCCAUAUGACCUAUUCUAGUGAUUUGUUAAACCCAACAAUUGUAUUUGAUUUUAAAAUUGAGUCAAGUGGAUAACCCUGAAAUAGAUAAUAUUACUUUUUUUAAUUUCAGCCUUGACGGUCAAAAAUAGUGAACAAAAAUACUUGUAUUCAAUAUUUUCUAUAAGUUUAAAGUAAAAACAUGUUAAACAUCAUGAAUGUCCCAAUGUCUUCACGAGGAGCAUGUUUUAAGCUAGAGAAAUUCUCAAACUGUCUAUUUUUACAUAACUAAUUUUAUGAAGUUCCAUAACUGGUGGUUAUUUUUAAAUGCGAUUUUCGGCUCAUAAUAGAGCAGUUAAUUGAAAAAUAAAACAACAUUAGAAUGAUAAAAUUCGGUAGAUUCAAUGUAAAAUGAAAUGGUUUGAGUGUAAUGUACUCAUAGCAAACAUAAUUAUAACUUAAGUUUGUCCUGGGCAUCCAGGGUCUCAGAAAAAUAAAAUUACUUGUAAAUCACAAAAUUCUCUCAUUUUCCUACGAGGUACAGCAAUUUGCGAUGCGGUUGAGUUUGUUUUAACUACUACGUUUUUUUUUAUUUUACAACAGAACUAAAACAUCUAACCUCGAGUCUCGAGAGCGAUUAAUCAAAGUUGUAAGAGCUUAUUUUGCAAUAGAGCAUUAAAAAGUUAGUUUUAACUUAAUUUUAAUAAUACAACGAUGAACAUCACGCCUGACAAAAUUGCAGAGGCUUGUUUAACCUCAUUUUUCGAGUAAAAAAUACACACUCCAUUUAAUACUGCUAUCAGUUUUUAUCUAAGUUUUAAAAUCUUUAUGUAAAGAUGAUGCUUAAUAAUGUGCCGAAAACCGCAGUAAAAAUAAACAACCGGUUACGGAACUACAUACGGAGUAACAUUAUUUAUUAAACGACCCUCGUAAAAAUUAAGAUUAUGCAACUCCUUUUUCCCCGUUAACAGGUUUUUUUUUUCUUUUUCAUUUUCUAGAAACUAUGGAUCGAAAUACUUCGAUACUGUAUUUCUAUUUUGCAGUAACGAUGGACCUAUUAUUGGCGCAAUAUUGGAUCGCUUGUUCUUGUCUUUGCUGUUGUUACAGCGUUUGUUAUUAUUUGUUGCCGUAAGAAGUCUCAUGGACAGCCAGGACAGGUUUUCAACCUGCAAGUGUAACAGCAACAAUUCAUGGCAUGUAGACAGUACCAUCACAAGCUUUGGACAAACUGGAUUCAUCAAUGUUGGUGCAUACCCCCUGCAAAUACAGACAGCAAAUAUGGUGCCUGGAGCGCGGAAAUGGCAAGAGCCUCCGCCGGAUUACACCACCACAAACAAUAUCUAAAACUAUUGAUACAUACGUCGAAAAAGUAAUGGCAUGCUUAUUUUAAUGUUAUUUGCUUUAUUACCUUCCGUACUUUGAAGAUCAUUGUGUAUUGCACUUAAAAAGGCGUAUCAAAACAUAAAUCAUACCGGACUGAGGCUCAAAGAAAUGAAAUAUCAGUAUUAUUAAAUGAGUCAUUGUGUACUGAAAUACUACGGUUUCUCAUACAACUACUUUUUUAAAGUCUUAAUCUGUCAUUGAUUAUGUUAUAUAAUUAUGUAGUGAGUGAGUGAGUGAGUGAGUGAGUGAGUGAGUUGGGUUUUACUGCGAAUCUACCCAAAAUGGUCAUAUAUCGCCGUUAUAAUUAUGUAGUUGUGCAUGUGUGUAUUGCAUUCUACAAUACAUUUGUAUCUCGCUUGAAAUACAGCAGUAUUUUGUUAUUUGGCGAAUCUUGCUUAAUUGCAUAUACCACUGAGAGUUACCUAAAGAGAAGAUACAGUUUGUGUAAUUCUGUAAGUAGAUUAAAUAAAUGUCUUUAUUUGUUUCAAA